UACGUAGGGGGCAAGCGUUGUCCGGAUUUAUUGGGCGUAAAGAGCGUGUAGGCGGCCAUUCAGGUCAGCUGUGAAAACUCGAGGCUCAACCUCGAGACGUCGGUUGAAACCGUUUGGCUAGAGUCCGGAAGAGGAGAGUGGAAUUCCCGGUGUAGCGGUGAAAUGCGCAGAUAUCGGGAAGAACACCCGUGGCGAAGGCGACUCACUGGCCCGAUACUGACGCUGAGGCGCGAAAGCGUGGGGAGCAAACAGG
rnacentral:rRNA from 1 species